CCGAUGGAGUGGGGACCAAAAGCAGAGUUGGAUUUUACAGAAGCUUGGUUCAGUUCCUAAAAGAAAACUCGGGUCAGGUUGCUGGGUCACUCUCUUGAGGACAGGCCAGCUGCAUGAGUUUGGGAGACUUUAACAACAAAAUCCUGAAGAAAGGUCUAAGGAGUGUUGGUCCAAACACAAUUCCUAAGCUUUGUGUUGACAUAAGAUUCACGGAUUCCUUGGCUGCUAUCCUGUUGACAAAAGGAAAGAAUUGGUUAAAAAAGAAGGAUGUCAGAGGAGUCACUGUUGCUCUUGAAGUACAUAGAGGCACUUUUUAACUGAUUCUCCUAGCAGGGAUGUUUGUUUGGUUAACUUAUCAAAAAGAAAGAAAACGGGGAGGCAAGAGAAAGUUCCACCAGUGUGGCAAACAAGGAAAGGAGAGUUUUUGUGGUGCCAGGGAGAAGAUUCCCUGCUUCCUUUAACAUGGUCUCCAGCACUGAAAGAGUUGUGGAAACCAAAAGAAAGCCCCUUAAUGUAGAGCUCAUAUGAAACACAUUCCUUCUGCUAAUUUAAAUCCAAUAAAGUGAGUAUGGUCUGAAAUGGA